GCCGCUAUAGCUCAGUGGUAGAGCACUGGUCUCGUAAACCAGGGGUCGUGAGUUCAAACCUCGCGGGCGGCA
rnacentral:tRNA from 1 species